CGAAACGUCGCCAAGACACUUCCAAUUUUACGCGGGAGAAAACCCGAACAACCAAAGACCUACAUACAAAUACCCACGAAAACCUCAGAAAAACAUAAGUCUCAUAAAUAAAUAAAUAAAUGCAAGCUAGAACAGCCCCUGGUGAAUUGGAUCAGCUUUCUAACUAGAGUAGUAGUGAGGAGCAUCACUACAGUCCAUAGGUAAACCUGUAUCCGUUUUCCGCUUUGCUUGAUAUGACCAUCUCUACUUCGCCUCAGGCCCAAAACAGGUGCCCCAAGCAUGUUUUUGGACCAGCCUUUACACUUCAUUCUGAAGCCUGCAAAUGUGCACUUUAUAGAGUUCAGUGCCUGAAUAUGGAUUAAAGGUGAAAAUACCCAACAGAAAGUAGAUGAAGUUGGUACACGUUUGGGUACGAUAAAAAGACUGGUAAUGGCAGCUCCUAGCUGUAGCCAAGGAGGCAAAAUGCUUUGGGAAAUUCCCCAUACAACCCUGUGUGUUUCCAACUCCUGAAAAGAUUGUUUAUCCAGAAGUCAAUCUAGGGGUCGCGGCGAAGAUUUCCAGUGUGCUAGGAAAGAGCGACACCAUCACUCUUUUCUUGAAGGUGAACCACGUACGUCAAGAGUUAGCAAUAUGGCAUCUAUGGGUACCAAGGCUCUCCAAGUCCCCUAGGCCAGGGUUGCCUACCCCUGCCCUAGGCUGUCAGUAGGACUCUGGAAUUCAAAAGGCUGAAAUGUUACUAGCUGCCAAAUUUCACACGAUUUAGUUGUUCCUGCCUAAAGUUUUGUGGGAUGUUGAGUAAUUCACUUUAAGACUUACAGGGUUUCGAGCAAGAAGGCCAAUCUUGCAAUAUUUUAGCCAUUUUUAAGGGGGUUCCCCCUCCUCUUUAUCCUCACAACAGUUGCAUGUAGGAUCCUCACCUAAAGUUGUCCCUGAGCUACUACCACUAGCUGGGAACUGUUGUCUUGAACGUGACAGCAAUAUUCUGCUGGCUGAGAAAGUAUUGCUGAUCUACUCAAACAUCACUAAAGUUGCAGUAAAAACUUUCAACAUGCCUAAGUUGUGUGCUUUCUAAAAAAAAUAAUACUGUCAGUUCAGCAAAUAGCAUUUUAUAUAACAGGAACGUGUUGAAUUUCGUUGCCAAAAUUGUGAAGCCCUUGCAAUAUUUCAUUUUUUUAUUUAGACAGAAACCAGUAUGUCCUCCAGACACACCCCUUGAUCUUGCCGUUUCUGUGAGAGCUUAAAUUGGAAUGGAGUGCGGUUUGUUUAUGUGUGUUCUGGUUAUGUGGUAGACAUUGAAAAAAAAUAAAGAAUGGUUUGCAUGGGAGGAAAUAUGGAAUAUUGCAAAUAAGUCACCAAAGGAAUUGAGCUGUUGCUGUUCCUUUUUAAAAACCAAUGCUUUAUGCCUUGAUGCCACAUUAAUACCGUUAUAUAUGUACUGGGGGCCAUGUAGUAGUUAAAAUUAGCUUUGUACAUAGACAUUCUGCCUUUCUCUUAAAAUCUGGCAUAUAUAUAUUUGCAGUGCUAAAUCAACUGUUAAUGCUGAACACUAAUAUCUUGUUUCUUUGAACUGUGAUUAAAGGAGGAAGAUUUAUCUCUUAGGAAGCCAAGUUUCCUAGUUAAAGCCAAAUUUCUUAUCUUUUGACUAUAUCUGAAAAGAUUAUUAUCCAAAUUAAGAAAGUAUAUUGGAGGGGGAGGGGGGAAAUCCCACAUUUUAAACUUCACGGAAUGGGCAAGAUAUUUAUUUGGCUUUUGAGAGAUACCUGGUAAUCCAUAUGACAUAUUGUAAGAUGCCUCUUUUCACUUUUUCUGGAAUAUCCUUUUAAAGAUAUACUGGCAAACUGCUGGCAGCUAUUGUUUUAAAAAAUAAAAUAUAUUUUUCACUUAA